CCGUCGAUAGCUCAGUUGGUAGAGCGGUGGACUGUAGAAGGUGUUGAUGAAAUCCAUAGGUCGCUGGUUCAACUCCGGCUCGACGGA
rnacentral:tRNA from 1 species